GUGACUUUUUGUUUGGGAGAUGGAAUUUCUACUGUUUUUCUGACUUUCCCAAGGAGAAAAGAAAAAUAUCCCCACUGUAAACAAAGCAGGACUGCUAGCAUAGCGGUACUGUAACUGCUAGGGUAAAGAGCUGAAAAUUGAUGCUGCUUUUUUGACUGCAGAAGUACUCUUGCUUUAUUAAACAGGGCCAACAUGCAAAAAGGGAUCUCGUUUUUACGGACAGAAGAGGGAAACAGUUUUUUGAGGGGCCAGAUAGUGACCUGUGAAUCACAUGGUUGGAAAGCACGUACAAGAUCAUCUAGUCCAACGGUUCUCCCAUUACCAUUGCUACUAAACCAUAUCUCGCAGCUCCUCAUCCAGAUGCCUCUUGAACACUGCCAGGGACGGCGACUCCACCACCUCCCUGGGCAGGCCAUUCCAGCGCCUGACCACUCUCUGAGAGAAAAAGUUUUUCCUUAUGUCUAAUCUAAACCUCCUCUGGUACAACUUGUGGCCAUUUCCUUGACAAGUAUCCCUUCCUGCAUAUUCUGGUAACUCUUUGGCAUGGGGGAAAACAACUUCUGCAAGAAGCUGUUCCGUAGAGCCACUAAGAUCCCAGAGACUUGGCAGAAGUUUUUGUAUCUUCUUCGUUGUAGGUUAUUUCUUUACCCUCCCUCCUAGGUGUUUCACUAAUUCUUUGUUUUCCCCACCUCCUUUACCAACAGCUUCUGUAGGCUGUAUUUAUAUAUACAUAUAUAUAUAUAUAUAUAUAUAUUUGUCCUUUCUGUGUAAAGCAGCAUGAUUCACAGAAAAAGGCUUUGUAGCUCCUGCUUGGUGACCUCUCCUGGUUCCUCACCUCCUGUUCUCCACUGAUCAGAGCUGUUGCUGAUUAGAUGCUCAGCAGAGGUGAUUGUGCAGCCUCUGACACCUCACAUCCCCUGCUGCCUAGAUUUCAAAGAGCAACUUCUGGAUUAUUUCACAUGCACUGACAACAUAAAUAGAAGCUGUUUUCCAGAUGAAGAAUUCUAUGUGGGAUAUGUUAAACGGUCUGCUAAGGACCAGCCUGAAUGCCUGAGGAUUUCUGAACAUCCAUCAGCACUCCAGGAUUUAUGGACUCCUGACUAUGCUCAGCCAAUGAUUAAGACUUCCAUAGCAUUUCUGUCCAUUGAAGGGACCCAUAGUGACUCCAGUGUUACGUACUCACCCCACAACAUCCCCCAGAGCCUCUCCAUGUCUGUGCUGAUUGCUUCCUCCAUGAUAAUUUGGGCAGUUGAUGUUGCUGAAUGUGAGCACCAACUGCUCUCUGGCCUAUAGACAAUGGUGGGACAGGCAGUGAUCGUAGAAUCAUAUAAUCAUGAAGGUUGGAAAAGACCUUUAAGAUCACCUUGUCCAACUGUCCACUCACCACCAAUAAGUAAUGCAUUUCCUCCCUCAAACUUGGCCUUCUCCAUCUUCACGUUGUAAUGUAGCUGUUUAUUUGGUUCUCUCCUUGUCCAGCAUGCCUCUUUCAUUUGAUGGAAGUGGAAAGGUGAAGGUCCUUUUUGGGAAGAUGAAGACCAUUUUGGGCUGUAUCUGGGAAAGCACCCGAGCUUUAGGUACACGCUGCCCCUUCAGUCAGUAUGGCAACGUGUACCUAUGGCUUUGUUUGCCAGCAGCCCUCUACACCGACGCACAGGUGAAGAACUGGUCCAACCCAUGGUGCUCAUCUCACCCUGACGUGGAUCACGUUGGUGUGAGUCAGCUGGGAAUGUCUCUCCAUGGUGAUGAAGAUCUCACCCCCAUCUUCUGUCAGCAGUACAGAAAGCUGUUGAUGCUGGUGCUUCUGCAGUUUCGGCAUUAGUACCAUAAGCUUGUUAAUUGUACAGGGCUGAUUGUUAUGUGUUCUUGUUGAAAACCUAGCAAGAGCCUUCCAAGUCAAGGCUCAAAAAGGUGAAAAGAAACUUCAUGGUUUCUUCUUGUUAGCCUUAGUCAAUACCGAAUUGAAGCUGGACUUGGGGUGGCUGAGGUUAUUUGUUUGUAUUGAACGUUUUCCUGGGUCUGACUGCUCAAACGUGCUGGGGACAGCUCGAGCUUUUCCGCUUGAAGUCAACAGGAGCACGUCUGGCCCUGCAGUCACUCCCCAGAGGGUGACACAGCGUAACUGUCCUCAGCAGGGGCAUUGCGGCAUGAACUUUGCUUGGCUGAAUUGGUGGGACUCAUGUUACAGUCUGCACUUGUCAUUUUUCUUUCUUACAUAAGCAGAAUGAGAGCAAAACCCUGGGAUAAGUGUUGUCAUAUCAGGCAUUGUCAGAGAGCACUUAGGUUUAAAGGUCAUCGUGUCAAUAUAGAUCAGAAACACCAAAAACUUAUCGUGGGAAAGAAGUAUCUUUUGUAUCUGCUGCUCCAAAUAGCUGGAAUUGAUUACAAGCCCAGAAGAAGGUUUCUGUCCUGAAUUUGGACAAUUUACGGUUCAGACUCUUUCCUUAUUUCUCCCUAUAGACAGACAGCUGUGUUUACUCAUUUUCCCCUAUUCAAAACAUGAAGUAGAAAUGGUUAGAGACUUUUUUUUUCCUGAAAACUAUUUGCAUUAAUUUUCUGAAAAUGAACUUAUUUGCAAGAAUAUUUGAUUCUCCUUUUCGGAUUUGCAUUUCUUUACUGUAUGCCGCUAGAACCACUUGGUGGAAAUACUGAGAGCCAGUGACUAUUUUUUGGACUGUGUUAGUCACUCCACUGAAUUUAUUUUGCAGUUAAUUUAUUUAGUUCGUGACGAUUUUUAUUUUUUUUAAUUCCUACUGUCUGCAAAUUAUGUGGCUUAAAAACAGAUGAAGAAAGCAAGCAGAGGACAAUCAUUAGUGGAAAGGGAAAAUGGUAGGGUUUGAAGUAGUCCCAGCUAUUUGGCCACUGUGCAUCAUUCACAGAAUCACAGAAUGAUUUGAGUUGGAAGAGUCCUUAAGUACCAUCUGAUUCCAACCUGCCCUUUUAUGGGCAGGGUCUAGCCCACUACCUCCCACUAGAUCUGUUGCCCAAAACCCCAUCCAACCUGUCCUUCAGUAGGUGGGGCGUCUACUGUUUCUUUGGACAGCCUGUUCUGAU
ensembl:lncRNA